UCCCUGGUGGUUCAGUGGUUAGAACUCCGCACUUCCACAGCAGGGGACCUGGAUUCGAUCCCUGGUUGGGGAA
rnacentral:tRNA from 1 species